rnacentral:rRNA from 1 species
GGCACGCUGGCGGCGUGCCUAUACAUGCAAGUCGAGCGGACAGAUGGGAGCUUGCUCCCUGAUGUUAGCGGCGGACGGGUGAGUAACACGUGGGUAACCUGCCUGUAAGACUGGGAUAACUCCGGGAAACCGGGGCUAAUACCGGAUGGUUGUCUGAACCGCAUGGUUCAGACAUAAAAGGUGGCUUCGGCUACCACUUACAGAUGGACCCGCGGCGCAUUAGCUAGUUGGUGAGGUAACGGCUCACCAAGGCGACGAUGCGUAGCCGACCUGAGAGGGUGAUCGGCCACACUGGGACUGAGACACGGCCCAGACUCCUACGGGAGGCAGCAGUAGGGAAUCUUCCGCAAUGGACGAAAGUCUGACGGAGCAACGCCGCGUGAGUGAUGAAGGUUUUCGGAUCGUAAAGCUCUGUUGUUAGGGAAGAACAAGUGCCGUUCAAAUAGGGCGGCACCUUGACGGUACCUAACCAGAAAGCCACGGCUAACUACGUGCCAGCAGCCGCGGUAAUACGUAGGUGGCAAGCGUUGUCCGGAAUUAUUGGGCGUAAAGGGCUCGCAGGCGGUUUCUUAAGUCUGAUGUGAAAGCCCCCGGCUCAACCGGGGAGGGUCAUUGGAAACUGGGGAACUUGAGUGCAGAAGAGGAGAGUGGAAUUCCACGUGUAGCGGUGAAAUGCGUAGAGAUGUGGAGGAACACCAGUGGCGAAGGCGACUCUCUGGUCUGUAACUGACGCUGAGGAGCGAAAGCGUGGGGAGCGAACAGGAUUAGAUACCCUGGUAGUCCACGCCGUAAACGAUGAGUGCUAAGUGUUAGGGGGUUUCCGCCCCUUAGUGCUGCAGCUAACGCAUUAAGCACUCCGCCUGGGGAGUACGGUCGCAAGACUGAAACUCAAAGGAAUUGACGGGGGCCCGCACAAGCGGUGGAGCAUGUGGUUUAAUUCGAAGCAACGCGAGAACCUUACCAGGUCUUGACAUCCUCUGACAAUCCUAGAGAUAGGACGUCCCCUUCGGGGGCAGAGUGACAGUGGUGCAUGGUGUCGUCAGCUCGUGUCGUGAGAUGUUGGGUUAAGUCCCGC